rnacentral:rRNA from 1 species
GGUUCAGGAUGAACGCUGGCGGCGUGCUUAACACAUGCAAGUCGAACGGAGUUUUAACGGAAGUUUCGGAUGGAAGUUUAGAACUUAGUGGCGGACGGGUGAGUAACGCGUGGGUAACCUGCCUCAUACAGGGGGAUAACAGUUAGAAAUGACUGCUAACACCGCAUAAUAUAGCGAAACCGCAUGAUUUUGCUAUCAAAUAUUUAUAGGUAUGAGAUGGGCCCGCGUCUGAUUAGCUAGUUGGUGGGGUAAAAGCCUACCAAGGCGACGAUCAGUAGCCGGCUUGAGAGAGUGACCGGCCACAUUGGGACUGAGACACGGCCCAAACUCCUACGGGAGGCAGCAGUGGGGAAUAUUGGACAAUGGGGGAAACCCUGAUCCAGCGAACCGCCGCGUGAGUGAAGAAGUAUUUCGGUAUGUAAAGCUCUAUCAGCAGGGAAGAUAAUGACAGUACCUGACUAAGAAGCCCCGGCUAACUACGUGCCAGCAGCCGC